UGGUCUUCUCCUGCCGACGACCAACAAUCCAACGUUCGUCGCAGAUGUCUUUGUGACCAACAUUGUUAUCACGGAGAAUAUUGCAAAAUUGUGUCCUACUUCCCAUUUAAGAACGGUUACUGCUGUAGUCGAAAUCCCUAUGGUGGUGGUGGUGGAAGAUAAUAUCAGGACAAGAAUGGAACAAGGCAGAUCACUGGCAACUGACAUAAUAACUGUAUAUUUCUAAUGAAUUAUACUUUCAGUGAUCAAUGUUCAAUAAAUUCAUAAUUUUA